rnacentral:rRNA from 1 species
GAUGAACGCUGGCGGCGUGCCUAAUACAUGCAAGUCGAGCGAACAGACGAGGAGCUUGCUCCUCUGACGUUAGCGUCGGACGGGUGAGUAACACGUGGAUAACCUACCUAUAAGACUGGGAUAACUUCUGGAAACCGGAGCUAAUACCUGAUAAUAUAUUGAACCGCAUGGUUCAAUAGUUAAAGACGGUUUUGCUGUCACUUAUAGAUGGAUCCGCGCCGCAUUAGCUAGUUGGUAAGGUAACGGCUUACCAAGGCAACGAUGCGUAGCCGACCUGGGAGGGUGAGCGGGCACGCUGGAACUGAGACACGGUCCAAACUCCGACGGGAGGCAGCAGUAGGGGAGGUUAAGAAAGGGGAGAAAGCCGGAGGGAGAAACGGCGAGGGAGGGAGGGAGGUCUUCGGAUUGGAAAACUAUGUUAAUAGGGAAGAACAAAAGGGUAAGUAACUAGGAAAGUCGUGACGGUACCUAAUCAGAAAGCCACGGCUAACUACGUG